rnacentral:rRNA from 1 species
GACGAACGCUGGCGGCGUGCUUAACACAUGCAAGUCGAACGGAAAGGCCCUGCUUUUGUGGGGUGCUCGAGUGGCGAACGGGUGAGUAACACGUGAGUAACCUGCCCUUGACUUUGGGAUAACUUCAGGAAACUGGGGCUAAUACCGGAUAGGAGCUCCUGCUGCAUGGUGGGGGUUGGAAAGUUUCGGCGGUUGGGGAUGGACUCGCGGCUUAUCAGCUUGUUGGUGGGGUAGUGGCUUACCAAGGCUUUGACGGGUAGCCGGCCUGAGAGGGUGACCGGACACAUUGGGACUGAGAUACGGCACAGACUCCUACGGGAGGCAGCAGUGGAGAAUAUUGCACAAUGGGCGGAAGCCUGAUGCAGCAACGCCGCGUGCGGGAUGACGGCCUUCGGGUUGUAAACCGCUUUCGCCUGUGACGAAGCGUGAGUGACGGUAAUGGGUAAAGAAGCACCGGCUAACUACGUG